ACGCGGGGUGGAGCAGCUCGGUAGCUCGCUGGGCUCAUAACCCAGAGGUCCAUGGUUCAAAUCCAUGCCCCGCUACC
rnacentral:tRNA from 1 species